rnacentral:rRNA from 1 species
AGUGGCGGACGGGUGAGUAACGCGUAAGAAUCUAACUUCAGGACGGGGACAACAGUGGGAAACGACUGCUAAUACCCGAUGUGCCGCGAGGUGAAACCUAAUUGGCCUGAAGAAGAGCUUGCGUCUGAUUAGCUAGUUGGUGGGGUAAGAGCCUACCAAGGCGACGAUCAGUAGCUGGUCUGAGAGGAUGAGCAGCCACACUGGGACUGAGACACGGCCCAGACUCCUACGGGAGGCAGCAGUGGGAAUUUUCCGCAAUGGGCGAAAGCCUGACGGAGCAACGCCGCGUGAGGGAGGAAGGUCUUUGGAUUGUAAACCUCUUUUCUCAAGGAAGAAGUUCUGACGGUACUUGAGGAAUCAGCCUCGGCUAACUCCGUGCCAGCAGCCGCGGUAAUACGGGGGAGGCAAGCGUUAUCCGGAAUUAUUGGGCGUAAAGCGUCCGCAGGUGGUCAGCCAAGUCUGCCGUCAAAUCAGGUUGCUUAACGACCUAAAGGCGGUGGAAACUGGCAGACUAGAGAGCAGUAGGGGUAGCAGGAAUUCCCAGUGUAGCGGUGAAAUGCGUAGAGAUUGGGAAGAACAUCGGUGGCGAAAGCGUGCUACUGGGCUGUAUCUGACACUCAGGGACGAAAGCUAGGGGAGCGAAAGGGAUUAGAUACCCCUGUAGUCCUAGCCGUAAACGAUGGAUACUAGGCGUGGCUUG